GGAUGCUAUCAGUUUGGAACAUUUGCAUCAAAAAGAGUAAGCUGUAAAAAUUAAAACAUUUGGUAACAAACUGUAGACUUUUGAAUCCCAUAAGCAAAUUUGGACCAACAUAUUGGUGAAGAAUGAGCUAUCUCUGGUUCAAGGGAAUCAAUUAUCUCAUCACCUUCAGACCUGUUACUGAUUUUAAGCUUUUAAAAGUAGUUAUUAACUUACUUUAAGUUUCCAAUAUCACCAUUACCUCUUUUAGCUUUUUAUCUUCUACUGUGCUAAAAUAGUGAACAUGAACAACAGUCUGCUAACCCCAAACAUGUUCACCAUUGUGAAUCACAUUUUUCCAUUCUUCCGCCUUACCAUCUCCCAUUGUUGUUCAAAUUCAGUUUCAACCUGCCACAAAACCACCAUGAUUUAAAUAUUUGAAAUUCAUGCCUAGCAUCUGAAGAGAGUGAUUCACUUAGUUACAUAUAAACUCUUGCUGAAAUAAAGAUCAACCUAAACCAAUAGAAAAAAAAAAAAAAAAA